GAUUGCCUUAGUAACGGCGAGUGAAGCGGCAAUAGCUCAAAUUUGAAAUCUGGCAUUUUUGGAUGUCCGAGUUGUAAUUUGUAGAGGAUGUUUCGGUAUUAGCUCCAGUCUAAGUCCCUUGGAACAGGGCGUCGCAGAGGGUGAGAAUCCCGUACGCGACUGGCUGCUUUUGCCAUGUGAAACUCCUUCGACGAGUCGAGUUGUUUGGGAAUGCAGCUCUAAUUGGGAGGUAAAUUUCUUCUAAAGCUAAAUACUGGCCAGAGACCGAUAGCGCACAAGUAGAGUGAUCGAAAGAUGAAAAGCACUUUGGAAAGAGAGUUAAAAAGUACGUGAAAUUGUUGAAAGGGAAGCGCUUGCAAUCAGACCUGCUUGCAGUUGUUCAUCUGGACUUUUGUCUAGUGCACUCUUCUGUGAGUCAGGCCAGUAUCGGUUUGGGCGGUUGGAUAAAGAUUUCAGGAAUGUAGCUCUCUUCGGAGAGUGUUAUAGCUUGUUUUGUAAUGCAACCAGCCCAGAUCGAGGACCGCGCUUCGGCUAGGAUACUGGCGUAAUGGUUGUAAGCGGCCCGUCUUGAAACACGGACCAAGGAGUCUAACAUCUGUGCGAGUGUUCGGGUGUCAAACCCGUGCGCGUAAUGAAAGUGAACGGAGGCGGGAACCUUUUUUUAGGUGCACUGUCGACCGAUCCUGAUGUCUUCGGAUGGAUUUGAGUAAGAGCAUAGCUGUUGGGACCCGAAAGAUGGUGAACUAUGCUUGAAUAGGGUGAAGCCAGAGGAAACUCUGGUGGAGGCUCGCAGCGGUUCUGACGUGCAAAUCGAUCGUCAAAUUUGGGCAUAGGGGCGAAAGACUAAUCGAACUAUCUAGUAGCUGGUUCCUGCCGAAGUUUCCCUCAGGAUAGCAGUAACGUUUUCAGUUUUAUGAGGUAAAGCGAAUGAUUAGAGGCCUGGGGGUUGAAACAACCUUCACCUAUUCUCAAACUUUAAAUAUGUAAGAAGUCCUUGUUACUUAGUUGAACGUGGACAUUUGAAUGCACCGUUACUAGUGGGCCAUUUUUGGUAAGCAGAACUGGCGAUGCGGGAUGAACCGAACGCGGAGUUAAGGUGCCGGAAUGCACGCUCAUCAGACACCACAAAAGGUGUUAGUUCAUCUAGACAGCAGGACGGUGGCCAUGGAAGUCGGAAUCCGCUAAGGAGUGUGUAACAACUCACCUGCCGAAUGAACUAGCCCUGAAAAUGGAUGGCGCUCAAGCGUGCUACCCAUACUCCGCCGCUGGGGUGAGAUCUAUACCCCAGCGAGUAGGCAGGCGUGGAGGCCCGUGACGAAGCC
rnacentral:rRNA from 1 species